GGAGGGGGGCAAGCGUUAUUCGGAAUCAUUGGGCGUAAAGGGCGCGUAGGCGGCUUGAUAAGUCAAAGGGUGAAAUCCCUCGGGCUCAACCGGGGAACUGCCUUUGAAACUGUCUCGCUAGAGACCCGGGAGAGGGUAGUGGAAUUCCCAGUGUAGCGGUGAAAUGCGUAGAUAUUGGGAGGAACACCAGUGGCGAAGGCGGCUACCUGGACCGGUACUGACGCUGAGGCGCGAAAGCGUGGGGAGCAAACAGGAUUAGAUACCCUGGUAGUCCACGCUGUAAACGAUGGGCACUCGGUGCUGCGGGUAUCGACUCCUGCAGUGCCUUAGCUAACGCGUUAAGUGCCCCGCCUGGGGAGUACGGUCGCAAAGGCUG
rnacentral:rRNA from 1 species